GCGCGCCUAACACAUGCAAGUCGAACGAGAGAUGAAGAGCUUGCUCUUCAAAUCGAGUGGCGAACGGGUGAGUAACGCGUGAGGAACCUGCCUCAAAGAGGGGGACAACAGUUGGAAACGACUGCUAAUACCGCAUAAGCCCACGGCUCGGCAUCGAGCAGAGGGAAAAGGAGUGAUCCGCUUUGAGAUGGCCUCGCGUCCGAUUAGCUAGUUGGUGAGGUAACGGCCCACCAAGGCGACGAUCGGUAGCCGGACUGAGAGGUUGAACGGCCACAUUGGGACUGAGACACGGCCCAGACUCCUACGGGAGGCAGCAGUGGGGAAUAUUGCACAAUGGGGGAAACCCUGAUGCAGCGACGCCGCGUGGAGGAAGAAGGUCUUCGGAUUGUAAACUCCUGUUGUUGAGGAAGAUAAUGACGGUACUCAACAAGGAAGUGACGGCUAACUACGUGCCAGCAGCCGCGGUAAAACGUAGGUCACAAGCGUUGUCCGGAAUUACUGGGUGUAAAGGGAGCGCAGGCGGGAGAACAAGUUGGAAGUGAAAUCCAUGGGCUCAACCCAUGAACUGCUUUCAAAACUGUUUUUCUUGAGUAGUGCAGAGGUAGGCGGAAUUCCCGGUGUAGCGGUGGAAUGCGUAGAUAUCGGGAGGAACACCAGUGGCGAAGGCGGCCUACUGGGCACCAACUGACGCUGAGGCUCGAAAGUGUGGGUAGCAAACAGGAUUAGAUACCCUGGUAGUCCACACCGUAAACGAUGAUUACUAGGUGUUGGAGGAUUGACCCCUUCAGUGCCGCAGUAACACAAUAAGUAUCCACCUGGGGAGUACGACCGCAAGGUUGAAACUCAAAGGAAUUGACGGGGGCCCGCACAAGCAGUGGAGUAUGUGGUUUAAUUCGACGCAACGCGAAGAACCUUACCAAGUCUUGACAUCCCUUGACGAACAUAGAAAUAUGUUUUCUCUUCGGAGCAAGGAGACAGGUGGUGCAUGGUUGUCGUCAGCUCGUGUCGUGAGAUGUUGGGUUAAGUCCCGCAACGAGCGCAACCCUUAUGGUCAGUUACUACGCAAGAGGACUCUGGCCAGACUGCCGUUGACAAAACGGAGGAAGGUGGGGAUGACGUCAAAUCAUCAUGCCCUUUAUGACUUGGGCUACACACGUACUACAAUGGCGUUAAACAAAGAGAAGCAAGACCGCGAGGUGGAGCAAAACUCAGAAACAACGUCCCAGUUCGGACUGCAGGCUGCAACUCGCCUGCACGAAGUCGGAAUUGCUAGUAAUCGUGGAUCAGCAUGCCACGGUGAAUACGUUCCCGGGCCUUGUACAC
rnacentral:rRNA from 1 species